AUUGAACGCUGGCGGCAUGCCUUACACGAUGCAAGUCGAACGGCAGCACGGGAGCAAUCCUGGUGGCGAGUGGCGAACGGGUGAGUAAUAUAUCGGAACGUGCCCAGUCGUGGGGGAUAACGUAGCGAAAGCUACGCUAAUACCGCAUACGAUCUAUGGAUGAAAGCGGGGGAUCGCAAGACCUCGCGCGAUUGGAGCGGCCGAUAUCAGAUUAGGUAGUUGGUGAGGUAAAGGCUCACCAAGCCGACGAUCUGUAGCUGGUCUGAGAGGACGACCAGCCACACUGGGACUGAGACACGGCCCAGACUCCUACGGGAGGCAGCAGUGGGGGAAUUUUGGACAAUGGGCGCAAGCCUGAUCCAGCAAUG
rnacentral:rRNA from 1 species